rnacentral:tRNA from 1 species
GGAGGGGUGGUCGAGCGGUUGAAGGCACCGCACUCGAAAUGCGGCAUACCGGUAACGGUAUCGUGGGUUCGAAUCCCACCCCCUCCGCCA